CAUGGACAAAAUUAGGACAUGGAAGGAAUUUUUGAAAGUUUAGUAAGGAGGGGCAUUUUGGUCAUUUGGUUAUUAACAUUAAUAAAAAGGUGAAAAAGAUGAUAAAAUUGUAUCAUCUUCUUCAAGUUACCAGCAGAACCUUACCUCUCUCCAUAGCUGGGGUUUAUUCAACUUUCAAGCUUCAUAAUCAAGAAGAGCGAAAUUCGAGAGUAGAUCGGGGAAAAGAAAAAGUAAAGGACUAAAUUGUAAAGUUUAGUCACAUUUUGUAUCGAGUACUUAUCUAGCCACUCGGGAUCGAAGGAAACGUCGGAGGCCGAUCACACUAUCAAAGAAAUAACUCGGUAUAAUUAGACGUUUUGUUUUGUGUAUGGCAUGUAUAGAAACUUAGCCACUUUUGGUAUAAUAUGAACAAUGAAUGAUGUGUAAAUACUUGCUAGUGAUUAGCUAAUAAAAAUGGCCGAUGAUAUGCAUGUUUAUUAA